GGUGUGAACACUAGGCAUGGGCAAAACGAUUCUUUUCACCGAACGCGAACGAACUAGUUCGCUCACCAAAAAGAACCGAACGUGAACGACGAUUCUUUCGUUCUUUUUUUCAUGGGGUUUUUAUUCACAAAGAACAUUCGUUAUUUUUUUCAUUUACCCACCAUAGAUGCAUACUGUAGCCAAAGAAGUACUCAUUCUGCGGUUGAAACCAAUCAUUUAAAAACAUUAAAUAAAUCAGCCCAUCUGCUGUCUGGUCAACACAAUCUAUCGCAAAACCGACCAAAAACUAGCAUGUAAAAAACUAAUACGAGCAAAAAUGUCUCCAGCAUAUAUUGUACCCUAUGUCUUAUACACACUCAAGGAUUCUAUAAAAAAAAACUACUUAAACAUGGAUAAACAUGAUGAGCGCAAUCAAUUCAGUUCAGUUCAUUCGCGAACAAUGACUAAUGCGUUUGAACGGGCUCGAUCUAUUGAAUUGUAUAGGUAUAAUUUACACACCAACAGAACACAGAUCGAACACCAGUUCGAACGCGUUCGAUGAAUUCAGUUGUGUAGGUACGAUUUCCACACCAACAGAACACAGAUCGAACACCAGUUCGAACGCGUUCGAUGAAUUCAGUUGUGUAGGUACGAUUUCCACACCAACAGAACACAGAUCGAACACCAGUUCGAACGCGUUCGGUGAAUUCAGUUGUGUAGGUACGAUUUACAUACCAACAGUACACAGAUCGAACACUAACCGAUCAGAUCGAACGCGUUCGAUGAAUUCAGUUGUGUAGGUACGAUUUCCACACCAACAGAACACAGAUCGAACACCAGUUCGAACGCGUUCGGUGAAUUCAGUUGUGUAGGUACGAUUUACACACCAACAGCACACGUAUCGAACACUGCUGGACAAAUUCGACGGCGUUCGAGCAAUUGAGUUGUAUGGGUACGAUUUCAACACCAACAGGGUACAUUUUGAUCUCUGACGACCCGUUCGCACGGUGCGAGAAAGAGCGAGAAAGCAAUAUGAUUUUGCACGUUUCAUUACCACAUUUAUGUGUGCCGUCAAACACU